ensembl:misc_RNA Metazoa_SRP Metazoan signal recognition particle RNA
GCCGGGUGCAGUGGCGCACGCCUGUAAUCCCAGCACUUUAGGAGGCCGAGACGGGCGGAUCACCUGAGGUCAGGAGUUUGAGACCAGCCUGACCAACAUGGAGAAACCCCGUCUCUA